AGGUCUUGCAAGAUUUUGUGACCAAUGAUCCAGUCUCAGUGUGCAUUUUCAUCUGUUUGCAUUGUGAUGGACAGUAAAUGCCACUGAGAUUAGAGUGUUGGUCAGAAUAUCAUCGAGGUCCACA
rnacentral:precursor_RNA from 14 species